AACGAGUAUAUGUGUUUAUAUGUCUACCGAAGCUGUGAUGAAGUCGACGAAAUUGUUUUAAUACAUAAAUAGUAUACUACGUCACAACCAUAGGCUAACGCAGCGAACAUAGAAUAUAUAAAAGUAUUCAUAUGUAUGAAUAUAUACUCCGCGGUAAAUGAUUCCAAUCAGACUCACUCCGAUUCGGUACGGUGCUGACGAACCAUCCAACAACAACAACUGCCGAAUUGUGCAGAAAACAUUUUUGCAGGCUGCAUUUUUUGUUUAUACUCUUCCUUCGUAUUCACUUGCCUUGAUUGCCAUGACGGCACGGACUCGUUUGCAGCGAAAGAACAGCUACAGCGCAGCAGUUGACAUUAAUACUGACGUCGGCUGCAUUUUUCGCUUUUAUUUGCAGCAGCAAAGUUGGAGUGAUGCAAAAUUCUGUGCAGUAAAUUUAAAAAAUAUGUAUGUAUGUACAUAUUACACGUUUUGAGCAAAAAUUGGAAUAAAAUACCUGGAUUUGGUUUAGGUGCCACAGUUCGUUUUACCAAGUGUUUCAUGAUUGCGCAGGAAGCCUUUUUUCCAUCCGGCUGAAUUUCUACAAAGUGCUGUUGGUCCUGCGGCCUAGGGACCAUUUCUAUGUGUCUCCAUUAAAAUGUUUUGCAUUCGAGCGAAGUGCAACCGACAACUAUAAUUUUCCCUUUCAAUGCAGUUGCGGGUGCCACCAUCUCACGUAAAUAAAUAGCACGAAUGUCGCAGCGGGGCUUCUCCAUCGGCGGGCAUUGUAGCAUCGGCGUCAGUGACCUGAAUACAAAAAACCAAAAAGUUUGUUGUAUAUUACUGUCAUAAUUUCUAUAUGAAUUAAAAACAAAUGUAAAAAAAAUCGCGGAAUAAAA